rnacentral:rRNA from 1 species
AUUGAACGCUGGCGGCAGGCUUAACACAUGCAAGUCGAGCGGGGGAGGUUGCUUCGGUAACUGACCUAGCGGCGGACGGGUGAGUAAUGCUUAGGAAUCUGCCUAUUAGUGGGGGACAACAUUCCGAAAGGGAUGCUAAUACCGCAUACGCCCUACGGGGGAAAGCAGGGGAUCUUCGGACCUUGCGCUAAUAGAUGAGCCUAAGUCGGAUUAGCUAGUUGGUGGGGUAAAGGCCUACCAAGGCGACGAUCUGUAGCGGGUCUGAGAGGAUGAUCCGCCACACUGGGACUGAGACACGGCCCAGACUCCUACGGGAGGCAGCAGUGGGGAAUAUUGGACAAUGGGGGGAACCCUGAUCCAGCCAUGCCGCGUGUGUGAAGAAGGCCUUUUGGUUGUAAAGCACUUUAAGCAAGGGGGAGGCUACCGAGAUUAAUACUCUUGGAUAGUGGACGUUACUCGCAGAAUAAGCACCGGCUAACUCUGUGCCAGCCGCCGCCGUAACAC